GAAAAAAGAGAAGUGCGAACAGACAACUCACAGCAAAAAAGUUACGCUUUCUCUUUGUUUUGCUCUUUUCCUUGACUUUCCUUUUUUUUUUCUCUAAAGACUGCAAAUUGAAGUGAGUGAGCGACUAAGCCAACGAGCGAACGGCGCCAAGAGGAAUGCAAAAAAGAGGAGAAAAAGAGAAAGAAAGGAGACUUGAUUGAUCAACU
rnacentral:ribozyme from 1 species